UUUUUUUUCCCCUCAAAGUCCACAGUAAGUCUUGAACUAAUAAUAACAAAAUUGAUGUUAUCUUGAAUUAAGCUUAAGUAGUUAAAAGAUGAAGGGGUGAACAAGUCACCAUCAUCUAAGUGAGGGAACAGAUCCAGGGCUGUUAGGCAGAUAAUGGCUUGUGCCUGCAGUAAUACUCCAGGAAGGGUGAUGGGGUACUCAUGGUGAGCCCCCAGAGUGUGGUUCCUCAUUCCCUACAAAUUCACACACCAGAGCACCACACCUUUGAACUGCAAAUAGGAUAUCACUACCAAAGAGUUGAUGGCUGUAUGUGAAUAGCGCUGAACCUCCCCAAGUGCCGCAGGCUGCCUAUGCCUAGGUGAAAGUCAUGAAACUAAUGCCUAGCUUUUGAGCUCCAGCUCUUCAUCAGUGUUGGGCUUGCAUGUAGGAAAACAGUCGCACAGCCCACAUGUAAUGAAAAAGUAAUUGGUAUUUUUGUCCUGAAAAAGUAUAUGUUCUGAUUGUAGCUGUUCACGUGAAAAAAUGGUGAAGGAAAGAGCUGUUCCCAGAGUUUGCCGUUUUCAUCUCAAAGCUGCCUAGGUGUUUUCUGUGCUCCACAAUUCCUGCUGGGUGGGAGAGAACAGAUUAAAAUGAUUAGACACAGAGCUAUUUUGAAAGCAGAAGCGAGUCUGCCUUUCAGCCCUGCAGUGACCAAUCAUUCGGUGUGCUCUUCCUUUGCUAUAGGCUCCUGUAGUUACUUUUGAACCUUGCUUGCCCUGUGGGUGACAAGGCAUCUUCUUUUUGGACAUUCUUGGGAUCUUUAAAUCAGGCUCAUGUAAGGAAGAGUUUUGCCUGGAUGCAGAAAUCUGUGGUUCUUGUGACAUUUUUAGGCACAUCAACUGGUUCACACAGCCCUUGCGAACAGACCGGAGGCUGCAGCACAUCCUUCAGUGCCUGGGCACUUGCACCAUGGUAGGGGCUUAGCAGUGGAAAUUUUUAUCUCUCCCAGCAGGAAAACAAAGCUUUUCUCUUGACUGAGCUCUCAUGCGGUGCUGACAGCACUGGCUGGGGUGCUGCCAAAGAACAAAGGGCAAUAUUGUCUUUAAAAAGCAGAAAGCGCAUUAAAAGUUUCUAAGCUCUGUUUGUGAAAAUCUGGAGUCACUUCAUUAGGAGCUCAGAAUUGGUCUGACUCCUUCCAGCCUCCCCACUUCACCCUCGUCUCUGUGCGAUAUUGCAGCUGCUCUGAUGAAAAACAGUUAUUUAAAAAUCUGCUUGUAGCUAUGGCAACCUUCAUGCACUGCGUUCGACCAAAACUCUGAAACAGCAGCAGAAGUUUCUUAACAGGAGACAGGAGGAACUGUGUGCAGAAGAGAGAGCCCUGGUUUGCGGUGGGAAGCUGGUGUGAGGAAUUAAAGCUCCUGUUGUGACAGAGAUGACAACAAAAGCAGAAAGCUUCCUCGUGCGGAAGGAAAGCCCGUCAACUGAGACAUUCAGGGCCGAUACACCGGUAUUGAACAGUGACUGUCACACUCAUUUCCAAAGUGCCGUUAUGGCAGCAUAGGUCAGGCUUUUGAAGCUUCCUUGCCAAAGGCUGCCUGGCAAGGUUUCUUCCCACCACUGCAGCUGACUGGCAGGAUUUGUUUCCACCUACGCUUUAGCAUAACGGGCACAUAAAGUACAGCGAAGAGUAAACAAAUCCUCUUCAGUGCCCUCCCUUCCCAUUCCAAAAUCCUGGGGAUUUUGUGUGCCCACUGCACGUAACAAGGAAAAUCAACUCGAGGUUCCCUGUGGCAGGGGCCAUCAGAGCCAUACUCUCUGUCAGGCUCUGGGAGCUGCCUGCAUUACAGCAUACUUUCCCCACCAUUUAACAUCAUCACUGCAACCUCCCACUGCCGUCACCCAUCUCCAAAGGGCUGUUAUUGCCCAGUCUUCAGAUGCUGGUAUAAGCAAAUAUCUCAAGCUGAGAAGUCUGGUAUUGGUACAUUACAGGAAAAUCUCUCAACCUUAAAAUUGCUUAUGGUAAAAAGCCCCAGUGUACAGAUAUCACUGUCUAACACACCAAACCACCUCAGGAGUUUAGGAAUAAACGUGGCAUACACUGAUGUGAAUGUUUAUGGGGUGAGGGAAGACUGGCACAAAAUACAAAGAAGCUGUGUUUGAAGGAAAUGCAUCUUAACAUAAAGGUAUUCUAAUCUUUACCCUUCAGUAUUUAAGUCAGUGCAGCCAUUAUUAAAGCAAUUAAAAUGCAAUUACUUUUUCAUCUUU